AAUAGCCUGACGGCUGAACCAGCAACUUGGAGGAAUGGAUAGCGAAAGCUAAUUGUACUAAUGGUACAAUAACGAUUUAAUCGUAUAAAAUUCUGGGUAAGAUUAUGAUGAUGACAUUAUUUACCUAUAUUUCUUGACCAAAUUACGUGCCAGCAGUCGCGGUAAUACGUAGAAGAUUAGUGUUAUUCAUCUUUAAUAGGUUUAAAGGGUACCUAGACAGCAAAUCAAGCCUUUAAUUUAAUAGGGACUAGUUUGCUAGAGUUACUUGUGAGGGGGCAUUAAAGUACUGUCGGUGUAGAGAUAAAAUUCAUUGAUACCCUUUUUCGUACGAAAAUUAAUGGCACAGAUUUAGGCAAAAGCAUCCCCUUAUGUGAUAACUGACGUUGAAGGACGAAGGCUUUGUGUAGCGAACAGGAUUAGAUACCCCAAUAGUCGAAGCAGAAAAUGAUGAGUGUCAUGGAUUAGAUGUAUAUAUUUAUUCUAUAAAUGAAAGUGUAAGCACUCCACCUCAAGAGUAAUUUGGCAACAUUGGAACUGAAAUCAUUAGACCGUUUCUGAAACCAGUAGUGAAGUAUGUUGUUUAAUUAGAUAGCACGCAAAAAACCUUACCACAAUUUGAAUAUUUACAUAUGCUGUACUUAGAUAAUAGGUAAAAACUAAAUAUAGCAUAGAAACGUAUCUACAAGCGUUGCAUGGUUGUCUUCAGUUAAUGUCGUGAGGCUAUGGUUAGUUCCAUUAAUUAACGUAAA
rnacentral:rRNA from 1 species